UACGUAGGUGGCAAGCGUUGUCCGGAUUUAUUGGGCGUAAAGCGAGCGCAGGCGGAAAGAUAAGUCUGAUGUGAAAGCCCCCGGCUUAACCGAGGAAUUGCAUCGGAAACUGUGUUGCUAGAUUGCAGGAGAGGUAAGUGGAAUUCCUAGUGUAGCGGUGAAAUGCGUAGAUAUUAGGAGGAACACCAGUGGCGAAGGCGGCUUACUGGACUGUAAAUGACGCUGAGGCUCGAAAGCGUGGGGAGCAAACAGG
rnacentral:rRNA from 1 species